CUACCGGGGUAUCUAAUCCCGUUUGCUCCCCUGGCUUUCGCGCCUCAGCGUCAGAAGAGGUCCAGUAGUGCGCUUUCGCCACCGGCGUUCCUUCCGAUAUCAACGCAUUUCACCGCUCCACCGGAAGUUCCCACUACCCCUACCUCACUCGAGUCCGCCAGUAUCAAAGGCACUUCUCCAGUUAAGCUGGAGGCUUUCACCCCUGACUUGGCAGACCGCCUACGCGCCCUUUAAGCCCAGUGAUUCCGAACAACGUUCGCACGGUUCGUCUUACCGCGGCUGCUGGCAC
rnacentral:rRNA from 1 species